UUCCGCCGUCUCAAAUGUUCCAAGCCAAACACGAGUAGCCUGCUUUGGGUUACGUAUCUCCGCCACCCAUUUCCCCCACGGUCGCCGCCUCACGCCUCUGUAAUUCUUCUUCUUCUUCUUCUUCUUAAAAUUAUCACUGUUGUUGCCUCUGUUAUUUUUCUCACGAUCGGAUUCUCCUUCGACUGCGGUGGAUCGGGGAAUGGGAAUGACAGGUGCCGGUGUCGUGUAAUUCGAGAUAAUGUGGAGGAGAGUCGAUGUGAUUAUCGAGCUUUCCUGAUCUAAUGUCAUCCCGAAUGGCUGCAACGGAGACAGAGGCGGUAACGACGGUAUAAUCGGUAACGACGGAGACAGAGGCGGGAAUGGCGAUUCUUCCGGUAUAAUCGGUAACGACGGUAAGGGUUUUGAUUUGGGAAUAUUUGAUUUCUGUCCGACCAUUUAUUUUCCACUGCAUCAGUCGAAGGGUGUUGUUAUCUUAUCUAUAUAUAGAUGAUUAUUGGAGGUGGAAUUUAGAUGAAUUUUUGAUAGUGGAUAUGUGGGUCCCAUACUCCCAUGACAACCGAUCUUAGCUGUUAAAUUUUUAAUGAUACACGUACACACGCGUAUUCACAUAUAUGGAGACAGAAAGAAAACGUGUGAAAAAUUUGAAACAUGUUUAUUUUUGUAUCUAAACACGAAUGCCACGCUAAUUAAGCGCCAGGUGUCGUUUUUUUUUCACACCUGAAAAUUAAGAUAUCUGUGUGUGUUUUUUAUUGUUUUUUUUAUAAGUUACUUAAUCAUAAAUUAAAAAUAAUUAAAAUAUUUUUACAAAGAUAAAGUUAAAAUAAUGAAAUCAAAUAACAAUAAGACAUUAUAGUAAAUUUAAAACCAACUUUAAUUAACCGAGGUUUUCUCUGCUCCUUUCAGGUUCCUUCAUGUUUAGCAUAACAAAAAUAUUCCAAUGUUGAUAAGUCAUUGUCUCAUUCUUGCAUUUGUGUGAUUUCUUGUAACGUUGUUUUUUGAAUCCCCAUUAUGUAGUAUGAAUGAUCUGUUUUAUAAUCAUACCUUCAUUCAGAUAAAUGUCAGUAGCUUUUCUUGUAUUGCGUUUUUUUCCAUAUGUUUCAAUAACUACUGAUAGAAGUGUCCAAUGAAUUCCCCAGAUGGAAGAGUUGAUUUUUAAUUUAUCAAUUUUAGCACCCAUAGAACUGAAGUCGAUGCAGUUGUUUUGCUGAAUUAAUCCUCCCAAAACCAGUAGACAGUUUCCGAUUAUAUUCCUGGUGUAACAACAUGAGUAAAAAAUAUGAUUGAUUGAUUCAGUUUUUCUUCUACAGAGGUAACAUAUCCCGUCUGAUUGUAGUCUCUUAAUUAUGAGUCUAUCGAGUGUUGGCAAUUUCGCCCACCUCAUUCGCCAAAGGAAAUUCUCAACUUUAGGAAUCUUAGAAGCCCAUAUACCCAGUGAUAAAGGAUUUCACUGGCCUCUCGGUCUAAUUGUUUCAUGAACAUUUUUUAACGAGAAAUUAUCGUCACUGCCCCACCCACUUAAGCCUCCCAUCCUUGGAAUCAAGUAGACCCAGAGAUCAAAAAAAAAAUUAUAAUGUUAAGUAAACAGAAAUUAAAGUGCAUAUAUGCACUAAUCUUCAACCACUUUAAUCAAGUUGUCUUCAUUAUCUGACAUUAUUAUUUUUAACCAAACACUUCCUAAUCUUUUUUUUUAAUUAAAUCCCAUUAUGCCAGUUUCUAUUAAAUAAUUUAAAAUAGUUUACACAUAUUAUAUAUUUUUUUCAUUUGGACUAAAAAUUAGUUACGUUUGAAGAAAAUUGCUAAGUCAACCGCUGCUAUGUGAGGUUCUCCCACCAACUGCUUGUUUCGCUCUUUUUGUUCUGUGAGAUUCUCCCAAACCUUAAUAUUUGUCUUAGCAAAUAACAAUGUAUAACUAAUUUCUUAAACAUACUCCACCUUAAUUAAAAAAAUUGUCAUUGUCAAAUACCAUCCACCUCAAUUAAGCACUUUAUAAAUUAAUAUCAUCAUGUUGAUUUUAUAUAAAAAUGAUGUUGAAAUUUGAAAAUACUUUUGUGUGGAAUUUUCUCUUUUAUGUGGAAUUUCCUAUCUUUAAUAUGUUGAAUUAAAUCAUAUAUUUCAAUUUUUUUUUGAUAAAAGUAAAUAAAAAUUAAAAUAAAUGUACUGAGACUCGAAUUCUGUAGUCAUUACUUUGUAUUGAUCUUAAAUAUCUUUGUCUUUUGUUGUAAAUGAUUUGUUAAUAAACCAACUAUAUUAUAAUCACUAUUAAUCUUCACCAUGUGAGAACCAAACUAUGGUUCUAUGCUAACCAUGGUUAGAAAUUAACCAUUAGUUUAAGUGUUUAAUAAACAAUUACUUAGCUUAACAAAAAAAUUUGAUUGAUACUCUUGUUCUUCUUGUAUAAAUAUCCAACCAAGCAUUGUACCGUUCUGAUUGAUUUGAUACAAAGUAUACAUUUAAAUUCGUUACCGUCUUCAUAUGAUAUCAGGUGGUUACUUCUAACACAGGAUCGGAAGAGGUCAUCUUGAAUGGCAGAAAGGAAUGUUGUUGUAAAGGUGAAUGUUUUACCUACGAGAUUCAGCAUCCUAUCCCUGGUUUUCUACCCCCUUCCAAAACGAAAUCGGGAUCAAUUUCCAUGAUUUCGAUCAUCUGAAUGGAACUUAUGUUCCACCGUACAUAUAACCGUCGGCGAUGAUAUGCUUCCCAAUCUCCAAUUUAAUCGAUGGUUGAAAGAGAAUCACUUAAUUGUUGGCUGGAUUAAUCUGAUAUGUUUGGUCAGUCAUCAAGAAUGAAGUUUUUGCCCUAGCGGCUUGGCGGAAACUGAAAGCGACAUUAUUACCAGACACAUCAAGGAUCAAAACUUCGCAGGUCGAAGAAGACUUCGGAUCUGACUAUCUAAUAAUCAAGUUUAUUAAAAAUUCAAAACCAAGAUAAUAAGAGAAAUUAAAAACUAAAAAACAGUAUUGUUCAGAAUUGUAGAUAUUCAAUAACAAAGUUACAAAAUACAGGAAAAUGUAUUUAAAUUAAAAAAAAUGUAUUGAAGAGGUUCGUGUUAUAAUAUGACAUUACAAUAUUCAUUGACCAGAGUUUUUUCACUCCUAUUGUUUAAGACCCACUACACAAAAACGAUGAGACAUAGUUCGUUUUAAAAAAUAUCGAGUCAGUUUUCAAAAAUUGUUGAAGACUUAAACGAUCGUAAGAUCACUUGGUUUGAUCAAUACGGAAGGUGUAAGAUGAAUUGCAUUUGAUCA
rnacentral:lncRNA from 1 species